GAGCGUACUUUUAAAUAAGUCAAAACUUUCAACAACGGAUCUCUUGGUUCUGGCAUCGAUGAAGAACGCAGCGAAAUGCGAUAAGUAAUGUGAAUUGCAGAAUUCAGUGAAUCAUCGAAUCUUUGAACGCACAUUGCGCCCAUUAGUACUCUAGUGGGCAUGCCUGUUCGAGCGUCAUUACGACCCUUAAGCCUAGCUUAGUAUUGGGAACCUACGUGCGGCAGCUACCCUGUAGCUACCCUGUAGCUCCUUAAAGACAACGGCGGAGACGUGGAGUCCUCUGAGCUUAGUAAACUUUUUCUAGCUUCUGAAGGCGCCGCGGCCCCUGCCGUAAAACCCCCCAACUCUUUAGUGGUUGACCUCGGAUCAGGUAGGAAUACCCGCUGAACUUAAGCAUAUCAAUAAGCGGAGGAAAAGAAACCAACAGGGAUUGCCUUAGUAACGGCGAGUGAAGCGGCAACAGCUCAAAUUUGAAAGCUGGCCUUCGGGUCCGCGUUGUAAUUUGUAGAGGAUGCUUUUGGUUAGGUGCCUUACGAGUUCCCUGGAACGGGACGCCUUAGAGGGUGAGAGCCCCGUACGUUUGGUUACCGAGCCUCUGUAAAGCUCCUUCGACGAGUCGAGUAGUUUGGGAAUGCUGCUCUAAAUGGGAGGUAAAUUUCUUCUAAAGCUAAAUACCGGCCAGAGACCGAUAGCGCACAAGUAGAGUGAUCGAAAGAUGAAAAGCACUUUGAAAAGAGGGUUAAAUAGCACGUGAAAUUGUUGAAAGGGAAGCGUUUAUGACCAGACUUUUUCCUGGCGGAUCAUCCGGUGUUCUCACCGGUGCACUUCGCCAGGUUUAGGCCAGCAUCG
rnacentral:rRNA from 1 species